rnacentral:lncRNA from 1 species
CCCUUUGAACCUUCUUUGAAGUGCCACAUGUAACUAAAGAAAGUCCUGGGAUGCAUCAGCACAUUAUGAAUUCCAGCUGCAAGCCAGUUUCCUGCUGAAGCUUAGGGUUGGAAAGAGAUCACCAUAUGCCAUCCAUCUCGUUAAAAUAAGCCCAAGAAGGAAAUUGUGAGAGGGAAGAAUGCAAGAGAGAUACUGUUUGUUUUGGCAGAAGCUGGAAAAGCUAAGUAGCUUCACUCUUAACAAAGAGAACUUGAUUAGCCACAAGGAAUACAGAAAGUUCCUCAAAACUACAACAGUGGGGACAAUUUGGGAACUGAAGGAAAAAUCAGCUUAUGUGAAGGUAAGACACUGCUGGGAGAAUGCUGGGACUGAGACUAAAAAUGUGACUCCGUUCUUUUUUUUUUUUAAAGAUAUUCAUGAAUGACAACAUACUUAAUAUUUUCCUAUAUAAUUGUUGCACUCUUAAUUUUAUUCAAAUAGAAUGCUCUCAAAUGUUAUGCUCCCAAUUUUAUUCAAACUCAUUUCUUUCAUUUAUGCAUAUUUUUAUCCAAAAUAACUAUUAAAAUAGGACAUAUUUAGCUUCUAAAUGUCGUUCAUUCUCAAUAACUAACUCAAAUGUUGUUAUUUAGUCACUAAGUCAUUUCCAACUCCUUUGUGACCCCAUGGACUGUAGCCCACCAAGCUCCUCUGUCCAUGGAAUUUCACAGGCAACAGUACUGAAGUUAGUUGUCAUUUCUUUUUCCAGGGAAUCUUCCCGACCCAGGGAUACAAUCUACAUAUUUUACAUUGGCAGGCGAAUUCUUUACCAUUGAUCCACAUGGAAAACAGCUAACCCAAGUACAACUAGCUUAAAUUUUUUGGUUGUUAAAACUCUAUGUUUCAGUGGAAGCUGGCUAGCUACUAGAGUCUCUUAUUUUUCUCUGUUUUCUCAUAAAUAAAUAAAUAGAUAAAAUCACCUUAUCCUCUCAUGAUUCUGAG